rnacentral:rRNA from 1 species
AACGAACGCUGGCGGCAUGCCUAACACAUGCAAGUCGAACGAGACCUUCGGGUCUAGUGGCGCACGGGUGCGUAACGCGUGGGAACCUGCCCUUAGGUUCGGAAUAACUCCCCGAAAGGGGUGCUAAUACCGGAUAAUGUCUUCGGACCAAAGAUUUAUCGCCUUUGGAUGGGCCCGCGUUGGAUUAGCUAGUUGGUAGGGUAAAAGCCUACCAAGGCGACGAUCCAUAGCUGGUCUGAGAGGAUGAUCAGCCACACUGGGACUGAGACACGGCCCAGACUACUACGGGAGGCAGCAGUGGGGAAUAUUGGACAAUGGGCGAAAGCCUGAUCCAGCAAUGACGCGUGAGUGAUGAAGGCCUUAGGGUUGUAAAGCACUUUUACCCGGGAUGAUAAUGACAGUACCGGGAGAAUAAGCUCCGGCUAACUCCGUG